rnacentral:misc_RNA from 1 species
ACAUAUGUGCUCGCCUUCACACUCUUCAUCCACUCAACCCCUGUGCACUUUAUCAGAGUUAGUAAUAGUAUUGUGGUGGCGGCCAUUUGUUGUUAUUCAUUGUUAGAAGCGGGGGUAACCCUGUCUGGCAAUAGUAAUGAUAAUAAUCUUGGUUCUACUACUACUACUACUAUGAACACUUUGACUUUUAUUUAUACAAACACUUUGCUUGUUCUUGUGAAUGUGUAAUGCUCCUUGUGAGCGAAAUACAAAUAUACAACUUUCAACAACGGAUCUCUUGGCUCUCGCAUCGAUGAAGAACGCAGCGAAAUGCGAUAAGUAAUGUGAAUUGCAGAAUUCAGUGAAUCAUCGAAUCUUUGAACGCACCUUGCGCCCCUUGGUAUUCCGAGGGGCAUGCCUGUUUGAGUGUCAUGUAAUUCUCAAUCCUCUUCUUCUUAACUGAAGAAAAAGAGGCUUGGACUUGGAGGUAUACACAAGCUGGUACUGUUUGGUAUCGGCUCCUCUCAAAUACAUUAGCUGGACUGUAGUUCGCAUUGUUUGGUGUAAUAGUUCUAUCUUAUUUCACUACAGUGCUUACUUAGACGGGUCUGCUUCCAAUAGUCCGCCUAUGUGU